rnacentral:misc_RNA from 1 species
GAUGAAGAACGCAGCGAAAUGCGAUAAGUAAUGCGAAUUGCAGAAUUCAGUGAAUCAUCGAAUCUUUGAACGCACAUUGCGCCCGCCAGCAUUCUGGCGGGCAUGCCUGUUCGAGCGUCAUUUCAACCCUCGAGCCCCCCCGGGGGCCUCGGUGUUGGGGGACGGCACACCAGCCGCCCCCGAAAUGCAGUGGCGACCUCGCCGCAGCCUCCCCUGCGUAGUAGCACACACCUCGCACCGGAGCGCGGAGACGGUCACGCCGUAAAACGCCCAACUUCUUAGAGUUGACCUCGGAUCAGGUAGGAAUACCCGCUGAACUUAAGCAUAUCAAUAAGCGGAGGA